rnacentral:rRNA from 1 species
UUUGGAUUUAAAACAUUGUAACUUAAGUAGUAUUAGUUAUGGUCUUGAAACUUAAAGAAUUUGGCGGUAUUUUAGUCUAGUUAGAGGAAUCUGUUCCGUUAUCGAUAAUCCACGUUGAACCUUACUCAGUAAAAUUUAAUAUGUAUACCGCUGUUAUCUGAAAAUCUUUUAAGGGUAAAAUUUUCUUUAAAUUGUAAUUAAUUUUAUUUCAGGUCAAGGUGCAGUUGAUGAUUGAGUGGUAAUGGAUUACAUUAUUUAUAAAAUAUACGGAUUAUAAUUUGAAAAUUGUUUUAUAAAGGGGGAUUUAAUAGUAAUUGAUAAUAAGAAUUAUUAUUGUGAUAUUGGCUCUAAGAUGUGC